UCUACAAAUCCCUAUAUAAAAACACAGAUACCUGUUCUGGUGAAAAUACACCGCCCAGCAGAUGUGUAUAUCAUGUCUGCGUCAGUCUGUCCAUAUCUGCAUGUCUGACUACGACCCCUCUUGGACGUAGAUAAAGUUCAGUGCAGUUCAAUAUUUGAACGUCUGGCUAGGUGUAUGUAUGUAUGUAUGUAUUUAUUGUAAAUCUGUGAACGUGCAAGACGGGUGCAGGAAAUCGACAUAUGAAUUGUCAAUUCAAUUCAAAAGUUGUCAAUGUCAGUUGCGAUGCGUGGUUGCCUGUCGUAGCAUAAUGUUCAUAUUGCUGUUAUUUUGUACUGUCCAAAUAUUUGGAGAAAUUGUUUGAUGCUUUGGCAGUUGUUCUCGAAACUUUCAUGCCAAUAAAGCCCCAUUGAACUGAAUUAAUAAAAAAUGCUAUGUUACGACAGGCAACCACGCAAACGCCGUCCAAAUAGUCAUUACCAAAUGUAAUCAUAACUAUAACGAACUUUACUAGUUCUGCGUGUUUGGCCAAAUGGUGUUGCCGGCGGACGAGCUCGCGCAUCUGCUACUCAGAUCGGGCAGCGACUCACACCCAUGAGCCUCGCUUCUUGCAAGACAUGAGGUGUGCUGCUCUUGCAAGGACCGUGUUACAGCAAGGCAAAAUGCGAACUCAUCAAGCUAGUUGAACAAAUCUAAGAUAAAGGAGAAAUGGGAGGCUGAAGUGAAGACAAUUAUUUCUUCUGAAACCUGGGAGGAGGCAUGUGGGGAGGCACAUCUAGUGACCAGCUCUAAUAUCUGGAGGAAGUUCAAAUGGAAGAUAACAACAAGACAUUUCCGGACUCCACAAAUAACAGCAAAAUGAAAUCCGACCAGUUCAGACAAGAGCUGGAGAGAAUGUGGACAGCAAGUUUGUAAUCACACCCAUAUUCUGUGGUCAAGAGAAAUUAUUAUUGUUAAGAAAUUAUUGGAAGGAAUAUUUAAUGCUCUUAAAAAAAUCUUCCACCAUGAGAUUCCCAAAGAUUCCCAAGAAGUCCUUCUUGGAGUGCAUCCAGAAGGCUUCGAGGGUAGAGCUAAAAUAUAUUUGCUGCAAACCUGCUACCAGCCACUAUUAAGUGUAUCACAUUCAGGUGGUUAAAACCUGGCCCUCCAUCAUACAGUGAUUGGAUCCAAAAAAUGUAGGAGCUGUACAAAGUGGAACAAAUCACAUAUGCACCACAGCUUCAGAGGCCAACAUCUUUAAAGAGAUGGACCCCUGUAAUGCCUUUAUUAAUAACAUAAUUCAAUAAGAAAAUUCAUACCAUGUCAUACUUGUUCUAACUACCUCAAAGUCACCUGCCCUUCUCUUAUUUAUUUCUUUUACUUAUUCAUUUAUCUAUUAUUAUUAUUAUUAUUAUUUUACUUUUUCCAUUUUGUACCUCCUUUUUCUCUGGGGAUUGUAUUAUCAAAUAUACAUGGACGUUUUCAUUUACUGUAUAAUGUACUUGAUAUACCUAAAACUGUCAACACAGUAGGAAUACGAAAAACUAACAUGCCAAAAAGUAAAACUGUACAGUAUUGAAUGCAAUGUUGAUGUUAAAAAAAUAAAAGUUAAAAAAAUAUAUAUAAUUGUGGAUAGGUGAUGAGACAAUGACCUUUGUAAAAAGCACUAUACAAAUAAAAAUGAAUUGAAUUGAA